rnacentral:rRNA from 1 species
AUUGAACGCUGGCGGCAUGCUUUACACAUGCAAGUCGAACGGCAGCACGGACUUCGGUCUGGUGGCGAGUGGCGAACGGGUGAGUAAUACAUCGGAACGUGCCCAGUUGUGGGGGAUAACUACUCGAAAGAGUAGCUAAUACCGCAUGAGAACUGAGGUUGAAAGCAGGGGAUCGUAAGACCUUGCGCAACUGGAGCGGCCGAGGGCAGAUUAGGUAGUUGGUGGGAUAAAAGCUUACCAAGCCGACGAUCGGUAGCGGGUCUGAGAGGACGACCAGCCACACUGGGACUGAGACACGGCCCAGACUCCUACGGGAGGCAGCAGUGGGGAAUUUUGGACAAUGGGCGAAGGCCUGAUCCAGCAAUGCCGCGUGCAGGAUGAAGGCCUUCGGGUUGUAAACUGCUUUUGUACGGAACGAAAAGCUUCGGGUUAAUACCCUGGAGUCAUGACGGUACCGUAAGAAUAAGCACCGGCUAACUACGUGCCAGCCGCCGCAGUAAAAC